UCGGCACCAUUCUCUGGGCCUUCAAACUGCAUACCACUUAAAUAUAUACUAUCUAUAAGCGAGGAACCAUCCAUGGUAUCCAAGAGAAACGGCAUUAACGAAGACAAUGAGUGAGUUGGAUUCUUGUUUGGAGUCAAAGGUUGAAUUGCUGGAUGCAUAAAAAAAACAAAAAAACAUACUCGGUUGGAUAUGCAAAACCACAUAUGAGCGCACCUUUUCAUGUGAACCAAGCUGCAAAACUCCAUGUGGAAAAAGAGAUCAUGUCAAGAACCUGUACCUUGACACCAGCUGAAAUCUGGGGCAACCAUUCAUCUGGUAUCUGCAUGUUACUGGCCAACACAUCAUCCAAUGAUAUCCAGCAAUGACUCUGUGUGCGGACCACUUCACCAAUAAUCCUAGCAAACAUGAAAUCUGAGUCAAACUACCAAUUUAAGAAUAAAAACAAGUGAUUUAUCUUUGGGAAUCCUUCUGAACUUAUUUUAGAGACUGGUGCAUUGAACUAGCUCUGUCAUAGAAGCUCAACACCUGAGGAUUGGUGUUUGAUGAAAUGAGCGCGCAACAUCAAGAACAGGAGCAUACCCUUCUCCCAGUUUGUACUGAAGACAUGAUGUUUCCAACACAGCGAUCUGACUUGCAGUCCCGUCUAUAACGCUACCAUCAUCAAAGGAUAGGAAUUGAUUCGCAUCAUUGGCAGACAGUUCAGCGGGCAAAUUUCCCGUCAAUGUUCUCACUUUUGGAUAAUCAUAGUACCAAUCUUCCCAUGAUAGGAACCUGAGAGAAUUCAAAGCAAUUUUUCAUUUCUCAUGAAACUAAUAGCCCACUUCUGCAUAUCCUUUCUGAUGAUGGAAAUAGCAUACUAUGAACACCGAGUCACAACUCACAAUAUCGGUAUUCAUUCCCCAAACACAAUCCUCUUGAGUAUCUGCUAUAUGUCCACUGGAAAAUGAUGUAUUUGUGUGAUAGUUUCAAGCCGUAGAUAUAUAAAAGAACAAAAGAGGAAAGUUGUACAUGUGCUCUUCUUAUACUCCAAUGUCCUAUGUUUGACGAGAGGAAUUAGUGUGAUCGGAUCCCAUUUCCAUUCA